rnacentral:lncRNA from 1 species
GCCUAGGAAGUCAUAAAACAUCACUCUGCUUCAUUCUGUUGGAUACUGAUGAGUCAAAACUUGCCAUUUUCAAAGGAAAAGAAUGCAGACACCUCUUAAAAGAGCAGGUAGUUAGAAUGCAACACUGGAAGAAUGUGAGUUUGAGACUAGAAAGAAAAAUUGAGGUAGCAUUCAUAUGGCAACUUCAUAUGACUUGAUGAUGU